rnacentral:rRNA from 1 species
ACGCUGGCGGCGUGCUUAACACAUGCAAGUCGAACGAUGAAGCCUAGCUCGCUAGGUGGAUUAGUGGCGAACGGGUGAGUAAUACGUGAGUAACCUACCUUUAACUCUGGGAUAAGCCCGGGAAACUGGGUCUAAUACCGGAUACGACCAAUCUCCGCAUGGGGUGUUGGUGGAAAGCGUUAUGUAGUGGUUAUAGAUGGGCUCACGGCCUAUCAGCUUGUUGGUGAGGUAACGGCUCACCAAGGCGACGACGGGUAGCCGGCCUGAGAGGGUGACCGGCCACACUGGGACUGAGACACGGCCCAGACUCCUACGGGAGGCAGCAGUGGGGAAUAUUGCACAAUGGGCGCAAGCCUGAUGCAGCGACGCCGCGUGAGGGAUGACGGCCUUCGGGUUGUAAACCUCUGUUAGCAGGGAAGAAGAGAGAUUGGCGGUACCUGCAGAGAAAGCGCCGGCUAACUACGUGCCAGCAGCCGCGGUAAUACGUAGGGCGCGAGCGUUGUCCGGAAUUAUUGGGCGUAAAGAGCUUGUAGGCGGUUUGUCGCGUCUGCUGUGAAAGGCCGGGGCUUAACUCCGUGUAUUGCAGUGGGUACGGGCAGACUAGAGUGCAGUAGGGGAGACUGGAACUCCUGGUGUAGCGGUGGAAUGCGCAGAUAUCAGGAGGAACACCGAUGGCGAAGGCAGGUCUCUGGGCUGUAACUGACGCUGAGAAGCGAAAGCAUGGGGAGCGAACAGGAUUAGAUACCCUGGUAGUCCAUGCCGUAAACGUUGGGCACUAGGUGUGGGGGACAUUCCACGUUUUCCGCGCCGUAGCUAACGCAUUAAGUGCCCCGCCUGGGGAGUACGGCCGCAAGGCUAAAACUCAAAGAAAUUGACGGGGGCCCGCACAAGCGGCGGAGCAUGCGGAUUAAUUCGAUGCAACGCGAAGAA